rnacentral:lncRNA from 1 species
GCUCGCUAUUUUUUCUUGUGUUCAUUUGAAUGUCACGGGGAUUCCUUGUUUGUUUGUCAUCAAUGAGCUUGAGGAAAACAUGAGGCAUGAGGGGCUCGCGGCCUCCCUCCGGUCGGCGUGGCAGGUUGCACCAUCUGGACCUUGGUGGCUGGAUGGAUCUCGUAUGUCAAAGGCCAUCAAGUGCUCAUUUGAUUCAUGGGAGUUGCGGUACAUAGAUGUGAAGGACG